rnacentral:rRNA from 1 species
UGGGGAAUCUUGGACAAUGGGGGCAACCCUGAUCCAGCCAUGCCGCGUGAGUGAUGAAGGCCUUAGGGUCGUAAAGCUCUUUCGCCUGUGAAGAUAAUGACGGUAGCAGGUAAAGAAACCCCGGCUAACUCCGUGCCAGCAGCCGCGGUAAUACGGAGGGGGUUAGCGUUGUUCGGAAUUACUGGGCGUAAAGCGCACGUAGGCGGACCAGAAAGUUGGGGGUGAAAUCCCGGGGGCUCAACCCCGGAACUGCCUCCAAAACUAUUGGUCUAGAGUUCGAGAGAGGUGAGUGGAAUUCCAAGUGUAGAGGUGAAAUUCGUAGAUAUUUGGAGGAACACCAGUGGCGAAGGCGGCUCACUGGCUCGAUACUGACGCUGAGGUGCGAAAAGUGUGGGGAGCAAACAGGAUUAGAUACCCUGGUAGUCCACACCGUAAAACGAUGAAUGCCAGUCGUCGGGUAGCAUGCUAUUCGGUGACACACCUAACGGAUUAAGCAUUCCGCCUGGGGAGUACGGUCGCAAGAUUAAAACUC